GACAGAGGGUGCAAACGUUGUUCGGAAUUACUGGGCGUAAAGCGCGUGUAGGCGGCUGCGCAAGUCGGAUGUGAAAUCCCAUGGCUCAACCAUGGAAGUGCACCCGAAACUGCGUAGCUAGAGUCUCGGAGAGGAGGGCGGAAUGCUUGGUGUAGAGGUGAAAUUCGUAGAUAUCAAGCGGAACACCGGUGGCGAAGGCGGCCUUCUGGACGAUGACUGACGCUGAGACGCGAAAGCGUGGGGAGCAAACAGG
rnacentral:rRNA from 1 species